CGCCUUAGAGAGGAUGCUGUUCGUGCUGCUUUCCGUGCCGUGUUUUCUGAAAGCUUAAAUACAGACCAGAAGAGGAGUUUGGGGCUUGACACCUGACAUCUUAACACCAGUUCCUGUUUCUUGAGGAAGGAAGAGGUAAAAUAAAUCAGCAUUUACUGUGUCCUUCUCCAUCCCCGGAAGUCUUCAUGAAGACCCUCUCAGCUUCUACUUGAACGUGAAUAUGAGCAACUGAUCAUCUGUUCUGCAGUCAGCCCCUGGCCUGAUUCUGACUCAUGGUAUUGACCUUCUCCAUCAUCACCUUCCACAAAUUUGAUUCCUAUCUAUUCUGCCUGGAAUGGUUCACGAGUAUAGUCACCAUUUAUGUUCCUGACGAAAGGUAUGUGCAAUGAAUAAGUCAUUGGUCUUGCCAAAUUCUAUCAGGUAAGCUUCAUUGUCAUUUCUAUCAUCAAUACCUUAUUUUCCAACUGCUGAUUUGUCUGCUUUGUUUUCAACUUCGCAUUCUAAUUACGUAAUUAUCAGUACAUCUUGAUUGAUGAAUGCAUCACGUUUGAUCAGUUUCAAACUGCGGAACUUGGUAAAAACCUUCAACUUCUUCAUCUUUCACAUUCAUAAUUUGUGUGUAAAUUUGAAUAAUAGUCUUAUUAACUGGUCUUCCUGGUAGGCCUGUGAAUAUUAUCCUAUUGUUCGUAGUGUUCUACUUCAGAAAAGAUCUUGAAAUGUUCUUUUUAUCGAUGAAUAUGAUGCCGUUCUCUUCAGUAUCUCAAUCCUGGCAUAGUAGAACAUAUCAUUGUCUAGUUUAAAAGGUCCAAAACCAAGCUAUUUCAGCUCACUAAUGCCUUGGAUUACUGACCUUUAUGCAUUCCAUUUCAUUUUUGAUGACUUCCAAUUUCCCUAGAUUCAUACUUCCUUCAUUCCACGUUCUGAUUAUUAAAGGAUAUUUGCAUCAGUUUCUUCUCAUUAUGAGUUGUGCCCCAUCAGGAAACGUCAUUAAAGUGGGAUCUACUUUGAGGAGGUAGCUCUUCCCCACUUGUAUUUUGAGUGCCUUCCAACCUAAGGGGUUAUCCUCUGUCAUUCCAUCAGACAGUGUUCCAGUACUAUUUGUAAGAUUUCACUGGCCAGUUGUUUUUAGAAAUAGGUCACUAGGUCCUUUUUCCUAGUCUGUCUAAAUCCAGAGCUCCACUCAAACCAGUCUACCAUCAGUGAACCUGGUGGUAUUUGAAAUACCGGUGGCAUAGCUUCUAACAUCACAGCAACAUGCAAGCCACCACACUACAACAAACUGACAGAAGAGUGGUGGGAGUUAAAAAUGAGAAGAACCAAAAAGAGUGCUUCUUCCAUGUCUGCUGAUUUAGAGGAUCCAUGAAAAAUUGUCAAGUGAAGAGUGAUUCAGAGAAAAACAUGGGUAGAAUGUGACCUAAUUUCCAUAAAAACAAACAAAUGAAUGUACUUACACGUGUCCCGGCAAAAAGAAGUGUGUAAAAGGGUACAUAUGUAUCUUUGGACACUGGACACUUUGGGGGAGCAGGUACAAUAUACUUAUGUGGGGAUGGCUCUUAUUAUAACUUCUGUAUACAAAUCUCUGUUGUUAAAUGUGUU